GACGAACGCUGGCGGCGUGCUUAACACAUGCAAGUCGAACGGAAAGGCCUCAGCUUUCUGGGGUACUCGAUUGGCGAACGGGUGAGUAACACGUGUGUGAUCUGCCUUUCACUCUGGGAUAAGCUUUGGAAACUGGGUCUAAUACCGGAUAUGAUCUGCCUUUAGUGUGGUGGUUUGAAAGUUUUUUCGGUGCAAGGUGAGCUCGCGGCCUAUCUGCUUUUUUGUGGGGUAAUGGCCUACCAAGGCGUCGACGGGUAGCCGGACAGGGAGGGUGUACGGCGACAGUGGGACUGAGGUAAGGCACAGACUGCGAAGGGAGGAAGAAGGGGGGAAUAUUGAACAAGGGGCGGAAGGCUGAUGAAGAGAGGCGGGGGGGGGGAAGACGGGCUUGGGGUUGAAAAAAAGAUGCGACAGGGAAGAAGGUGGUUGUGACGGUACCUGGAGAAGAAGCACCGGCUAACUACGUG
rnacentral:rRNA from 1 species